CAUUCCUAGAGACGCUGGCUGAUGCUGAUGAUGUCUGUCCUAUCAUUGCUAAGAAAUUCAGUAACAAGGACCAUGAGUCCCUUGUCUCUUCCUAGCUCUUAAUUGUGGUGGCGAUAUUCCCAUAGACAGUGCAGAUGAUAUUGAGGAACUGAAAGAGGUUGAUCUGCAGAAACUUAGAAUGAGUUAAUGUAAAUCUCAUCUUUUGUUUGCCUAGGUUGUGCUCCUGUAUUUCAAAGUGGCCUGACAUGAUAUACUGUUUGUCUUCAAGAGUAGUGGAAUCAGCUAUCCAUUAACAUUGAGUGGUCUUUUUUGGGGGUAGAUAAGGUCGCCAAUAAUUCAUUUAGGUGAAGAAAAGUUGAUUUUU